rnacentral:rRNA from 1 species
UACGUAGGGUGCGAGCGUUGUCCGGAAUUAUUGGGCGUAAAGAGCUCGUAGGCGGUUUGUCGCGUCUGCUGUGAAAACCUAAGGCUCAACCUUGGGCUUGCAGUGGGUACGGGCAGACUAGAGUGCGGUAGGGGUGACUGGAAUUCCUGGUGUAGCGGUGGAAUGCGCAGAUAUCAGGAGGAAUACCGGUGGCGAAGGCGGCCUUCUGGACGG